AAGUGCGAUCAUACCAGCAUUAAUGUGGCGGAUCCCAUUAGAACUCCGCAGUUGAGCGUGCUUGGGCCAAAGUAGUACUGGGAUGGGUGACCUCCUGGGAAGUCCUAGUGUUGCACCCU
rfam:Picea glauca, whole genome shotgun sequence.